UUGCGAUUAAACUUGAGUGUGUGAAAACCAAGCAUCCUCAACUUCACAUAGAAUCCAAGUUCUACAGGAUAAUGCAAGGAGGAGUAGGAAUACCUGCUAUCAAGUGGUGUGGAUCAGAAGGAGAUUACAAUGUGAUGGUAAUGGAACUGUUGGGACCAAGCCUGGAAGAUUUGUUUAACUUCUGUUCUCGACGGUUUAGUCUGAAAACUGUCCUACUCCUGGCAGAUCAGCUUAUCUCUAGGAUAGAGUAUAUACACAGCAAAAACUUUAUUCAUCGUGACAUAAAACCUGACAACUUCCUCAUGGGUCUGGGAAAGAAGGGUAAUCUCGUGUACAUCAUCGACUUCGGUCUAGCGAAGAAGUAUCGUGAUGCCCGAACCCAUCAGCAUAUAUCCUACCGGGAAAACAAGAAUUUGACCGGCACAGCUCGCUACGCCAGCAUCAAUACACACCUUGGGAUAGAACAAAGUCGGAGAGAUGAUAUGGAGAGUUUAGGAUACAUUCUCAUGUACUUCGUCCAGGGGACACUGCCCUGGCAAGGACUAAGAGCUGCGACGAAGCAGCAAAAAUAUGAACGUAUUUCUGAAAAGAAGAUGUCGACCCCUGUCGAUGUUCUGUGUAAAGGCGCACCCUGCGAAUUCGCGACUUAUCUCAACUACUGCAGAUCUCUCAGGUUCGAGGAGAAACCGGACUACAGCUACUUACGUCAGCUGUUCCGUAAUCUGUUCCACCGGCAAGGAUUCACCUACGACUACGUGUUCGACUGGAACAUGCUCAAGUUCGGAGGAAGCAGGGGCACAGAAACCGAGGGAGACCAGAGAUACUCGAGAAAGUGAUAGAAUAACAAUAAAAAGCCGAAGUGUUUCAUCCUGUAGAAUGCCAUCAGAUCCCUCCUGACUGUGCGACUUCAUUACUUGUAAUUGUUGAAAACUAGAAAAAUGUUGGAAUCUUGUAAAAUGGGCCAGUUCAUUAAACAAAAUUGUUACCAAUCAUAAUACGAUAAAAGCCAUUUUUUAUAUUUAUUAUCAAAGAAUACUGUACUGCAAGUGUACCACCGUGGAAGAAUUGAUUGAUCUAUAAUCCCCUGCCUAAUUACUAAACCAAAUAAAUCUUCAACAUUAACCUCAAAUCAACUGGUGUGCAAUUGCACAGCCACUAAAUACGCCGGACGGCAUAUGUAAUCUUAUUUGCCAAAUUCGAUUGUUUUCAUUUAUAUUUAUUAUUUUCUGUUUUUACCCUUUUCGUGUCGAUUCGAUUCCGUUAUUUAGGUUUUUCAAAACCCACAAAAUGGAAAACCAAAAACUCGUAAUAAAUUUUCCAGGAAAUAAUAUUGACUUUACUUACAAUAUCUGAACAAAGGCACAUUGUACUCUAGAACUUUUUGCAUGUUUUGUAAUUUAUUAAUUUGUUCAUUUUGUCGAAUGUUCUCUCCUUUUUUGUAAAUGUGCGACAAUUUAAAUUAUUUUUUCUCCGUCAUCUUCAAAUCUUUUUCUGAACACAAAUGCGUCCAGCUGUUGACUAGCGGAGCAAUCUAACUCUUAGUUAGGUUCCGUCCUGUUUAACAUAUAUUGUUCUUCUACUAUCCCGCCAAAUAUAUUGAACAUGGUUAAAAAUAAAUUAAUUAAUUUAA
rnacentral:misc_RNA from 1 species